rnacentral:tRNA from 1 species
GGUUGUAACUCAGUGGUAGAGUUCUUGCCUAGAUGCACAAGGUCCUGGGUUUGAUACCCAGCACCA